ACUCCUACGGGAGGCAGCAGUGGGGAAUCUUAGACAAUGGGCGCAAGCCUGAUCUAGCCAUGCCGCGUGAGUGAUGAAGGCCCUAGGGUCGUAAAGCUCUUUCGCCAGGGAUGAUAAUGACAGUACCUGGUAAAGAAACCCCGGCUAACUCCGUGCCAGCAGCCGCGGUAAUACGGAGGGGGUUAGCGUUGUUCGGAAUUACUGGGCGUAAAGCGCACGUAGGCGGAUCAGAAAGUAAGGGGUGAAAUCCCAGGGCUCAACCCUGGAACUGCCUCUUAAACUCCUGGUCUUGAGUUCGAGAGAGGUGAGUGGAAUUCCAAGUGUAGAGGUGAAAUUCGUAGAUAUUUGGAGGAACACCAGUGGCGAAGGCGGCUCACUGGCUCGAUACUGACGCUGAGGUGCGAAAGUGUGGGGAGCAAACAGG
rnacentral:rRNA from 1 species